AUACUCACCUGUCAGGGGGAUCCCCUGACCAUGAAGGUAGUUUUCCCAUGGUGAGGCUUAUUUAUUGCACUCUGGAUGUGCUGACCCCUCCAGUCUAUUCCCAAAUGUGGGAAACUUGGCCACCUUUGGUAGUGGGGGACUUUGUGCUUUCCCCAA